rnacentral:rRNA from 1 species
UACGUAGGGUGCAAGCGUUGUCCGGAAUUAUUGGGCGUAAAGAGCUCGUAGGCGGUCUGUCGCGUCGGAUGUGAAAACCCAGGGCUCAACCCUGGGCCUGCAUUCGAUACGGGCAGACUAGAGUUCGGUAGGGGGAGACGUGGAAUUCCUGGUGUAGCGGUGGAAUGCGCAGAUAUCAGGAGGAACACCGAUGGCGAAGGCAGGUCUCUGGGCCACUACUGACGCUGAGAAGCGGAAAGCGUGGGGGAGCAAACAGG